rnacentral:lncRNA from 1 species
AAUCAAGAAGUUGGCGUGCAGCUGGGAGAGCUAGACUAAGUUGGUCAUGAUGCAGAAGCUACUCAAAUGCAGUCGGCUUGUCCUGGCUCUUGCCCUCAUCCUGGUUCUGGAAUCCUCAGUUCAAGGUAAGACUCAGGAGUCUUGUUCCCCAGCCAUCUUCUCUGUAAGCCCUGUGGUCCAUGCAAGUCAUUAUAUUCAUUUUAAGGCAUAGAAUGUAUAAUAUUGUGAGAAAGGAGGCAAAGAAGAAGGAUUUGGGGUCGCUGAACCCUUUAAUAUGAGUUCUGUUAAGUUUGGUACCAAGAAAAAUUAAACUCUGUGGCGUGUGCAGUCUUGUAAACUCUUACAAUGAUUGAAAUGUGCUAUUUUGGGAUGAAAAUGUGAGGUUUAUAAAUUUUAAAAGCUCAAAAAAGGAAUCUAGAAAAUGACUCCUGUGCCUGUUGCAUGGAGGAGAUGGCACCUUUGACUGUUGGGGGGUGUCUGCCUACCCCUAAGUGUCUACAUCAGCCCCAAGUUUUAGUGCGCUGUGACGGUGUCAUUGUUAUUUUAACACUGGGAGACGUUAUAUUCCAAUUGGGGUGAAUCUGACUGUGUGUAUUUUCUUUUCUUUUUUUUUUUUUUAAAGAUAAACUUGGUUCUUACUGAAAACUCAAUUAUGGUUAGACAUAGUUCAUGUAAAACCUCUCAGAUUUUAAAGAGAAGGCCAAAUAAUUUGGUAUUUGUGCUCUUGCUCAGAGAAGCAUCAUAUUCGGAAAUAUCUUCCUAGGUUUAUCUACCAUUUAGUGUUGUUUAGUCAGACUGAAACAACUUAAAACCUGUAAUGACUAAGACAAUGAAAAUGAUAGGCUUGUAAGAAAAAUACAAUUUGUUAUUCUUUGGCAAAUAAGGAAUCAUGUCUAAAUAAGACGGAGGUCAUGGCUUGAUAGAGAGAUGGCUGAACCUAUAGUAGAAAAACACUAGGUUCCGCCAAAUGGUAAGGGAAAUGUUGAGUCACAAUGACACACAUGUCCUAGAUUUGUUUCGUCAAAGCGACUUUUGGUUGUCAUGAUCUUACUUCCGGUGGAG